GCGUGUGUGUGCGUGCGCGUGCGUGCGUGCGUGUGCGCGCGUGCGUGCGUGCGUGCGUGUGGCGUUGAAGCGGCUCGUGCUGAGGUCGGCACGAGCCUUUACUUUCCGUGUUUUCGACGUCAUGGCUUUAACAAACCUGACCCGGAAACAUGGGUUUAAGUUGCUACCGACGGUCGCGUGCACCGUAGAGGAGUGCGCCGCAGCAGUAGCUAAACUAAUCGGCGGUAGGAGCGUUGUCUCUGCCGGCCGCAUGAAUAAGGCUGUGGUGAUAUUUGUAGACGAAGUUCACAAAGUUGAGGUUGUGGUCGCUAAUGGAGUUGUGAUCAGAGACACAUUGAUCAAAGUUUUUCCCCUCAGUAGCCCCUCGAAAAGGGUUAUUUUGUCUAAUGUUCCCCCCUACAUAGACAAUAAGGUACUGCUAGCUACUGCAACUGGCUAGAUUUGGGGAAACGGUGUCUGAGAUAAAGCCAAUUACAACAGGCUACAAAGACCCAGAGAUGAAGCACAUUUUGUCAUACAGCAGAUUUGUGUAUAUGAUCCUAAACAACAGGGAUGAAGACCUGAACAUAGUGUUCAAAGUCAAAGUGAAUGGGGAAGAAUUUGUCAUUUUUGCAACUUCUGGAGUGUUGAAGUGUUUUGGGUGUGGUCAGGAGGGACAUAUGUUCAGGAACUGUCCUGAGAAAGAAGUUGAUGGUGGUCAGGAGACAGGACUACAGAAAGAAAAAGAUAAGCGUGACAGUGAGGGAAACAAUGUACACACAGACAGGCAAGAGGAAAUAACACAAGAAAACAGUAACACAGAAGGUCAAGAAGGAAAAGAGAAAACAAAUGAGCCAGAAGCAGGACAGAUGGAGACAGGGAAGGAAAAUCCACAAGUUAAUAAUGACAAUCCAGAACAAAACACAGAGACGGUUGGACAUCAGAGUAGCGAGGAGUCUGUAGCUAAAGACAACACGGAUCUGAUCACAGCUGAUGCAGGGUUCACUGUGGUCAGAUCCAAAAGAAAGUAUAAGGCAAGCGGUAGUGGCCUUCAGACUAGGAAGAAAGGGCUUGUUGAAACAGUACAAGAACAACAAAGUGUAAACAGUCAAGAAGCAGUGAUGGAGUCGGGCAGUGAGCAAGACACCAAUACAGACACAGACAGCGAUGAGGACAAACUCACUAAGGAUCAGGCAGGUACAUACACAGCUAAGGAGAUAAAAAGGUUUCUCCAAAAAACAAAGAACAUGAAGGGAGUCAAAAUAGACCAGCACUUCCCCGACAGACAACGUUUUGUAGACUCAGCUACAAACAUAAGAGACAAAAAUAAAAGUUUCACACACCAAGAAGUUUAUCGUUUAAAAAAGCUUGUAACAAAAACAAGACAGGAUUUGCUGUGUGAUGAGGAUGACAGUGCAUGACCUAUUACUCUGUGACGUAAUGCUAGUCUGUUUCUAUGUCAUACUUUAUCUCAUGUCUGAUUUUAACAUUGCUUCUUUAAAUUUACGUGGAGGAAGGGAUGUUAAAAAAAGAACAGAACUGUAUGAAUUAAUGAGACUGAAACACAUAGAUGUGAUGUUUUUACAAGAAACGCACAGUGACAAAGAAAAUGAGUCCAGAUGGAUGAUGGAAUGGGAAGGUGAAGUUGUUUUAAGUUCACUGAGUUCAGUAAGCGCUGGAGUGGGCAUUCUCUUUGCCAAACAUUUCAUACCAGAAUCUUACACCACACAAGAGAUUGUUGCUGGUAGACUAAUGUUGGUUGAAGCAAAAUAUGAACUUUUUAAUCUUGUAUUUAUUAACAUUUAUGCUCCAACUAACGGCCCUGAACGAGUCUUAUUUUUAAAUAAAUUAUGUGAACUUUUAUCCAGCUGUGAUUUUAAAGACUAUCUGUUUUUAGGAGGAGAUUUUAACUGCACUCAAAAUGAUUUGAUGGAUAGAAACCACACAGAACCCCACGCAGCAUCGAAGCAUACACUUACACGUCUGAUAAAAACCCAUGAUCUGGUAGAUGUGUGGAGAAGGCAACACGGGAACGAGAGACAAUACACACGGAUUUUUCUGGACCUCUUUUAGAAAAGAAAAGAGAGAUUUCUCCUCCUAUAGACAAUGGUGGGACCAUGGGAAGAUUUCUUCAUCUCUGGGUCUUUCCAAGUCAUUAAGAGAGCUGGAGAUAGAUAUUGUGGAACUCCAGGCCUUGACUGAGUCCACAGGAAAUAGAGGACAUUUUGAGAACCUCAAGGCAAAAAAAAGCUUUAAUGGCGGAUCUAUUGGGCACAAAAGCACAAGGAGCUCUCGUCCGUUCUCGCUUCAAGGGCGUCAAUGAGAUUGAUGCCCCCUCACGGUACUUCUUCGGUCUGGAGAAGAAGAACGGACAGAGCAGACUCAUGCACACACUACGGACAGCAGACGGUCAAAACAUAACCCACACUAGUGACAUCAGACGGUACGCCACAAAGUUCUACAGGGAUCUGUAUGACAACAAGUACAGUGACAAUCAAGAGCUACUAGAGGUUUUUCACAGAGGGCUCCCGAAGGUCCCCCCUGAGGAGAAUGCUGCACUGGAUGGCCCGCUGGUUCUAGAGGAACUGCAGGCCGCCCUGAACACAAUGGCAGGAGGGAAAGCACCAGGAAUAGACGGCCUGCCAGCGGAAUUCUUCAAGUUUUUCUGGCAUUAACUGGGGGAAGACCUGCUAGAAGUUCUCACUGAAAGCUGUGAGGAAGGCUGUCUACCCCUGAGCAGCCGGAGGGCCGUACUCACACUUCUGCCCAAAAAAGGUGAUCUGCAAGACCUCAAGAACUGGCGUCCAGUGUCACUAUUAUGCACGGACUACAAGAUAAUGUCGAAAGCGCUGGCGUACCAUCUCAGGAAUGUUAUGGACUCCAUAAUUCACGUCGACCAGACUUACUGUGUACCCAAUAGAUCCAUCAUUGAUAACGUUUCUCUGAUUCGGGACAUUUUGGACGUCUCUAGCUCAUUGGCAAAUGAUCUUGGUCUGAUUUCGCUGGAUCAAGAAAAAGCUGUUGACAGGGUUGAGCACCAGUACCUCUGGAAACUCUAGGGGCUUUUGGUCUCAACCCCGGUCUUAUAGCAAUGAUAAAGGUGAUGUACCAGGAUGCUGAAAGUGUACUCAAGAUCAACAGAGGGUUAAGCGCUCCUUUUAAUGUAAAUCGGGGAAUCAGACAAGGUUGCUCGCUAUCAGGUAUGUUAUAUACUCUAUCAAUCGAACCGUUUUUACACAGAUUGCGAAUGUCUUUAACUGGUUUUAUUCUUCCUGUUUUUAAUGCUCCACGUUUUAUCUGCAUAUGCCGACGAUGUCAUGGUUUUAAUACAAAACCAAAAUGAUAUCAAGGUUUUAGAAAAUGUUGUUGCUGAAUUUAGUCAAGUUUCCUCGUCAAAGGUAAACUGGAAAAAAGUGAAGCCGUUGCGGUAGGGAACUGGACCGUCGGCUUACCAAAAUUAACAAAUGGACUAGAAUGGACAAAAGAUUUCAGAUACUUAGGGAUCUUUUUAAAUGAUGAAAAGAAAAACUGGGAAGGAGUAUUGGAAAAAAUAGAAGGCAAAUUAAAAAAAUGGGAAUGGCUUAAACCAAAUAUGUCACUUAGAGGGAGAGUGCUGGUGGCCAACAUUUUAGUAGCCUCUACACUGUGGCACCGCUUAGCCUGCCUGGAGCCCCCCACAGGCCUUGUUGAAAAAAUUCAAGCAGCAUUAGUUAAUUUUGUAUGGGACAAAUUACACUGGGUCCCUCAGUGCGUUCUCUUCCUCCCUAAGGAUGAAGGAGGGCAGGGCCUUGUAGAUAUCCGGAGCAGAAUUGCAACUUUCCGUUUUCAAACUGUACAAAAAUACCUGAUCGGGUCUGAUUCCCUGAUAUGGAGAGAUUUAAUGAGUUUUAUUCUGCAAAAAGUCAAUGGUUUUAAUUGUGAUCGCACUUUAUUUUUAAUGGAUCCCAGUGUUUUAAAUGUUUCUAACAUGUCUGUUUUUUAUAAAAGUGUAUUUAAAACAUGGACUCUGUUUGAACGUGGAUCCCAAGGCCCGGCGGUGUCACUGUAUUGGCUCCUAGAAGAGCCAUUAGUGGGAGGAGGACGACUGGACAUCGGAGACACUUCUGCAGGCCUCACACAAACCCUGGUGUGCCAGAACUUCACGACCUUGAGGAGACUGGUGGACACUGCAGGACCAGACUUCAAGGACACGAAAGCAGUGGCCAAAGAACUCGGGCUACGAUCACUGCGACAUGGAAAACAACAUCAACAAAUGGAUCAACAAGUUAUUGAAAGAAGAACUGCUUCUAUUGAAGGAGUACCACGAAGGGACCGAAACACCCGAUAAAUGCGACCCUUUCCCAGAACUGGAACUUUUACCGAAGCUUCAUGGUUUUAAUGGUUUGUACCUCGAUACAGAAAAAAGACACGUUUUACCAAUUUAUGAAGCAAAAGGAAAGGAAAUAUACAAAUGUUGUGUGAAAACUGUAAACAAAAGAAAGCUGGAUGGGAGGAAAGACACGGUGUGGAGGGACAAGCUGGGGGUUUUAGACGACACUAAACCGACAUGGAGAGUUUUUUAUAAAUUGCCACUAAGAAAGCGAGCAGGUGAUUUACAGUGGAGAAUUUUACAUGUGGCGGUGGGGGUUAAUGUUUUAAUCUCCAAGUUAAACCCUGAUGUUUUAAAGACUUGUCCUUUUUGCACAGAAACAGAAACUGUUUUUCACUGUUUUUUACAUCGCAAAAGACUUACAUCGCAGACUCUUUUAGUGAAACAUGGUCCCAGACCUCAACAACGCUGAGAGUAGCUGCACAUCUAAAGUGAGAUCUAAACUCAUUGUAGCACAACUACUCCACAGGUGGAACUCUGCCCUCUCACAAGAGGAAAAGGAAAUGCUAAGGGCGUUCUGUGGAGGUACUGAGCAGCCAGAUGAAGAUGAUCCCUUUCCUGAACAUACUUUGUCUCCAGACCUAGAGGGAAGUACUGGUCACUUUUUAGACUUUAAAAAUGUCAUGAAUAUGAAUUUUUAUGAGGUUUCUGGAAAAUGUUUUUAGAAAACGUGUGAAGUUUUUUUUUUUUUUAAAGGUCUCCAUGGCAGAGUCGACACACCAUGGUGCUCUGUCCUGGAGUUGGGCGAGGAAGAGCGACCACAGUGGAGAUCACUGUACAAGCCGCCGUUAACCAAGGGAUCUGGAGAUCUACAGUGGAGAAUCCUGCUUGGCAUCAUUGCUGUCAACGCUUUUAUCUCAGUUCUGUGUUCAGAGACAAGUCAUGAGUGUCCUUUCUGCCUCCAGAGUGAGACGAUUUUUCAUUCUUUUACGCAAUGCUCCACAUUAAAACUUUUUAACCUC